rnacentral:rRNA from 1 species
GUGCCAGCAGCCGCGGUAAUACGUAGGUGGCGAGCGUUGUCCGGAAUUAUUGGGCGUAAAGGGAGCGCAGGCGGUCUAAUAAGUCUGAUGUGAAAGGUCAUAGCUCAACUAUGGACGUGCAUCAGAAACUGUAAGACUUGAGUACUAGAGAGGGCAGUGGAACUCCAUGUGUAGCGGUGAAAUGCGUAGAGAUGUGGAGGAAUACCGAUGGCGAAGGCAGCCUCCUGGGAUAACACUGACGUUCAUGCUCGAAAGCGUGGGGUAGCAAACAGGAUUAGAUACCCUGGUAGUCCACGCCCUAAACGAUGACAAUUAGCUGUUGGGGUACUAGAUGCCUUAGUAGCGAAGCUAACGCGUGAAAUUGUCCGCCUGGGGAGUACGGUCGCAAGAUUAAAACUCAAAGGAAUUGACGGGGACCCGCACAAGCGGUGGAGCAUGUGGUUUAA